rnacentral:rRNA from 1 species
CCUUGGUCAUUAGAGGAAGUAAAAGUCGUAACAAGGUUUCCUAGGUGAACCUGCGGAAGGAUCAUUAUUGAAUAAACCUGAUGUGGCUGUUAGCUGGCUUUUCGAAGCAUGUGCUCGUCUGUCAUCUUUAUCUCUCCACCUGUGCACAUUUUGUAGUCUUGGAUACCUCUCGAGGCAACUCGGAUUUUAGGGUCGCUGUGCUGUACAAGUCGGCUUUCCUUUCAUUUCCAAGACUAUGUUUUUAUAUACACCAAAGUAUGUUUAAAGAAUGUCAUCAAUAGGAACUUGUUUCCUAUAUAAUUAUACAACUUUCAGCAACGGAUCUCUUGGCUCUCGCAUCGAUGAAGAACGCAGCGAAAUGCGAUAAGUAAUGUGAAUUGCAGAAUUCAGUGAAUCAUCGAAUCUUUGAACGCACCUUGCGCUCCUUGGUAUUCCGAGGAGCAUGCCUGUUUGAGUGUCAUUAAAUUCUCAACCUUCCAGCUUUUUAUAAGCUUGGUUAGGCUUGGAUGUGGGGGUUGUGGGCUCCAUUAAUGAGGUCAGCUCUCCUUAAAUGCAUUAGCGGAACUUUUGUGGACCGUCUAUUGGUGUGAUAAUUAUCUACGCCGUGGAUGUGAAGCAGAUUUAUGAAGUUCAGCUUCUAACCGUCCAUUGACUUGGACAUUUUUUGACAAUUUUGACCUCAAAUCAGGUAGGACUACCCGCUGAACUUA